GGAGGCGGAUAGGCUCUGGUGGGCCUCGCGGUCUUCAAAACCGUAGGCGGCGGCGCAAACCGUCGCGGGGGGUUCGAUUCCCUUCCCCUCCGCCA
rnacentral:tRNA from 1 species